GAAGGGUUUAGACUUUGGUGAAGAAGGUGUGGCUUAGAAAUAAAUAGGGUGUGGCUUUAGAGGAUGACAGAGAUGCUUGUGAAGAGCAUGGAGGCUAAGGGGUGUGAUGUAUAUGUUAAGGGGUGUGAUUUAUAUGUUAAGGGGGGUGAUUUAUAUGUUAAGGUGUGUGGUUUAUAUGUUAAGGGGUGUGAUUUAUAUGUUAAGGGGUGUGGUUUAUAUGUUAAGGGGUGUGAUUUAUAUGUUAAGGGGUGUGAUUUAUAUGUUAAGGGGUGUGAUUUAUAUGUUAAGGGGUGUGAUGUAUAUGUUAAGGGGUGUGAUGUAUAUAUUAAGGGGUGUGAUUUAUAUGUUAAGGGGUGUGAUUUAUAUGUUAAGGAGGUGAUUUAUAUGUUAAGGGGUGUGAUGUAUAUGUUAAGGCGUGUAAACUCAGAUUUACUAUGAGAAAAAUUGGAUUACCUUUGCUGUUCUUCGUCAGAAUGCACUCCCAGGACUUCUACUUCAAUAACAAAUGUUGGUUUGGUUCAAAAUAAUCCAUAGUUAUGUUCAAAUAUCCUCUGUUUUGUUCGUGCGUUCAAGACACUAUCCGAAGGGUGACGCGCCCGACGCGUUUCGUGACCAAAUUUUUUAAAAUAUUCCAUUACCGUACUUCGAAGCAUGUCAACCGCUGUUUAAAAUAAAUUUUGAUGCGAUUUUUCUCAUAAAAAAGCGAUAAUAUUCCGACCGGGAAACCCUGUUUUCGUUCAUAGACAGAAAAUCUAAAAUGGACUCUUCUCGUGCACGCGCGCCCCAGUCUCAUUGUUCUCAGAUCGACAACUAUCCAA
rnacentral:lncRNA from 1 species